GAUAAUUAAUUAAUUAAUUAAUUAAUCAAGCAUCCGAUCUCGAUCAAAUUGUCUACAUACAUACGUACGGAGCGUGAAAAUUAAUUGAACAAACAUGAGUAGAACUAAAGUUGCAAUAUAUUAGUUUACCAUAAAACAGAGAAUCGCAUGAAGAAAAUACAUCAAUUGUCAAUUGAGAUAGGUAGGUGGUGUAAGAAAUGCAUGCCCAGCAGCUGCUACCCCCCACCAAAUUAAUUUGAUAGAUAGCAUUAGCAGCAGCCUCGUAAUGCAUUUCUUACAUCCCAUAUCUUACAACAAUAUAUAAUUAUAUAUGUAUUCCUGCAUAUUAGCUAACUAGCUAUAACCAAAUCUAUAGCUAUAUCCCAGACAUAAAUGAAACAAACUAGGUAGCUAGGUAAAUCGGACCGGUACCCUCAAUUCCCCUGUGCAAUGCAACGAUGACACUCUCCCACUUCUGCCCACCUAGAAACUAGGGAGAGUGUAGUUGCAAAGCCAAUUUGCUUGUACGUACGUGUUUCCCUUUUCUUUCUCCCCGCCACUUGGGCUAACUGCUGCAAACAUUCUCUGCUAGCUAGCUCCCUUGCAGCGCUAGCUGACCAUGGUCGGUAGACACGUACAAUUGAUGAAUGUGUGUCAGCCGAUCAUGGCCCUUGUUAGUUAGAGAUGUAAUGAUGGUGCUGUUAGAGGAAACAAUGCUUCUUGAGGCCAAGGUAAAAGCAGCAGCAGCAGCAGCAGCAACAUGGUUCAGGAAAAUGGGAGGAAGAGGAAGCUGCUAAGUGUGAAAAAGAGUAGCAGGAGGAUAUAAGCGACAUACAUAAGGGAGUCGUAUUUAAAGGCGUGAUUGCAGCUUUUGGUCCAAU
rnacentral:lncRNA from 1 species